AUGGAAGAGACAAGUUCUCCAUCUUCAAGCCCUUCACCAAAUCACAACAACACUUCUCUAGCAUCUCGCCUUAAGAACAGUUGCUUAUCUUUCGCUGUUUCUAUACAAGAAACAUUUACAUAUGCAAAAGCCUCCUUUGUCGGUCAGGCAAAAACUAUAACUGCAAGAAAUGAGAAGGAAGCAAGUGAAGCUGAACUUGAGACUUCAAAGAAACAGGUUGAAGCUGCUGAUGCUGCUGAAGCUAUCAAGAAAAAGCUCAAUAAUUGA